AACUCGACGACGAGCAGGGGAGGGUUUUAGAUCGAACUUUCCAGGAUUAGGGUUUUGGUUGUCGCCAUGGAUCACCGUAACAAGCGCAGGCGAGACGAGGAAGCGGGGGUUCUUCCUCUGGUUACUGAGAAUGGCGACUUCCAUGGAGUAAGCGGUUCCGGUGUAAUCGAUCUGUCCCUUCUUGAAGCUGUGGAGAGCUCCCACAACGGCGGCGUGGAGGUCCUUGACAUUAGGACCAUGAAGAAGCUCGUCCUAUCCUUCGAACGCCGACUCCGUGAUAACCUUGAGGCCCGCAUGAAGUACCCUGAACAGCCGGAUAAGUUCGCCGACUCGGAAGUCGAGCUCCACGAGGAGAUUGAACGACUCAAGAUCCUCGCUGGAGGCCCUGAACUUUAUCCCGAGCUCGUUGCUCUCAACACAGUUCCCUCUAUAGUCGAUCUGCUCGGCCAUGACAACAUCGAUAUCGCCAUCGACGUGGUAGGCCUCCUCAUGGAUCUCACAGACGAAGAUGUUCUCGAGGAUAACGAUGAGCCAGCUCGUAUCCUGGUUGACGCCCUAAUUGAGAACAGCGCUCUGGAGCUUCUCGUCCAGAACAUCAGCCGCCUUUCCGAGGUUGAUCCAGACGAGACUGCCGCCAUAUACAAUACGCUGGCCACCAUCGAGAACAUGAUCGAGGUAAAGCCUGCAGUGGCGGAGCUCGUUUGUGAGCGGACAAAGCUGUUGAGGUGGCUUCUGGGGAGGAUUAAGAUACGAGAGUUUGAUGGCAACAAGCAGUACGCUUCAGAGAUAUUGGCCAUUCUACUGCAGAACAGCACUGCGAACCAGAAGAGAUUAGGUCAGAUGAACGGUGUGGAUGGGGUGUUGCAGGCUGUGGCGUUGUACAAGUCCAGGGAUCCGAAAAGCUCAGAUGAGGAAGAGAUGCUGGAGAAUCUAUUUGAUUGCCUGUGUUGCUUGUUGAUGCCAGUGGAGAACAAAGAGAGGUUCAUCAAAUCUGAAGGAGUGGAGCUAAUGAUCAUCAUCAUGAAACAGAAGAAGUCGGCCUAUGGCUCUGCCAUUAGAGCCCUUGAUUUUGCAAUGACCAAUUAUCCUCCUGCCUGUGAGCGUUUCGUGGAUGUACUUGGGCUGAAGACAGCAUUUGCAGCGUUCAUGGGUAAGAUUCCUCUUAGCAAGAAAAACAAGAAGGAGAGCUACCAAGAGGAGCUAGAAGAGCGUAUCAUUUCUCUAAUCGCAUCGUUAUUUGUUGGCAUUACAAGAGGCUCGAGAAGGGAGAGAUUGUUGAGCAAAUUUGUCGAAAAUGAAUGUGAGAAAAUUGAUAGGCUUAUGGAAUUAUAUUUGCGGUACUCUGACAGAGUUAAAACUGAGACUGAACGGCUAAACAAUCUUGACUUAGAUGACCUGGAGAUGGACGUCGAAGAACAAUAUAACCGUAAGCUAGAAGCUGGAUUAUACACUCUCCAAUUGAUUGCUGUUAUUCUGGGUCACCUAUGGUCUUCUGAGCAUCAACAGAUGAGGGGAAGGAUAGAGCUACUACUUCGGCAGCAGAGAUUGACGAAGGAGGAUGUGAGGCUUGUACUUAAGGAGUAUCAUGAAAACAUUGGUGAUAUGGAUGGGCCUGAAAAUAAGGAACGUGCACAGGGGAGAAUCCAAAGAUUCAUCGCUGCACUAUCAGAUCAAUAAAAUUUUAAAUGCCCCUUGCGGCUGCAUAUAUAUAUGUUAUUAUGGACAAAAUGAUUGGUUCCCUACCGAGUGAAGGCCCAUGUAACCUUGUUGAACAUUAAGGAAAUCUGCUAUUUUCCACUGUCCUGCAGUCAUAUAUGUCAGAUUUCAGCCAACAUUCUUCCUUCCAUUUCCUUACCCAUCAU